rnacentral:rRNA from 1 species
UACGAAGGGGGCUAGCGUUGUUCGGAAUUACUGGGCGUAAAGGGCGCGUAGGCGGUGCCUCAAGUCAGGCGUGAAAGCCCCGGGCUCAACCUGGGAACCGCGCUUGAGACUGGAGUACUAGAGUUCGGGAGAGGAUGGUGGAAUUCCCAGUGUAGAGGUGAAAUGCGUAGAUAUCUGGAGGAAUACCGGUGGCGAAGGCGGCAUCCUGGACCAUUACUGACGCUGAGGCGCGAAAGCUAGGGGAGCAAACGGG